rnacentral:rRNA from 1 species
AUUAGCUAGUUGGUGGGGUAACGGCCCACCAAGGCGACGAUGGAUAGCCGGCCUGAGAGGAUGAUCCGCCACACUGGGACUGAGACACGGCCCAGACUCCUACGGGAGGCAGCAGUGGGGAAUAUUGGACAAUGGGGGGAACCCUGAUCCAGCCAUGCCGCGUGUGUGAAGAAGGCCUUAUGGUUGUAAAGCACUUUAAGCGAGGAGGAGGCUCUUUUGGUUAAUACCCAAGAUGAGUGGACGUUACUCGCAGAAUAAGCACCGGCUAACUCUGUGCCAGCAGCCGCGGUAAUACAGAGGGUGCAAGCGUUAAUCGGAUUUACUGGGCGUAAAGCGCGCGUAGGCGGCCAAUUAAGUCAAAUGUGAAAUCCCCGAGCUUAACUUGGGAAUUGCAUUCGAUACUGGUUGGCUAGAGUGUGGGAGAGGAUGGUAGAAUUCCAGGUGUAGCGGUGAAAUGCGUAGAGAUCUGGAGGAAUACCGAUGGCGAAGGCAGCCAUCUGGCCUAACACUGACGCUGAGGUGCGAAAGCAUGGGGAGCAAACAGGAUUAGAUACCCUGGUAGUCCAUGCCGUAAACGAUGUCUACUAGCCGUUGGGGCCUUUG